rnacentral:rRNA from 1 species
GCCUAUGCCCAUGCUACCUUGAACAAGCCCGAUCCCAUCUGAUUUUGGAAGCUAAGUAGGGUCGGGCCUGGUUAGUACUUGGAUGAGAGACCACAUAACAGGUGCUGUAGGUG